rnacentral:rRNA from 1 species
CCUACGGGUGGCAGCAGUGGGGAAUAUUGCGCAAUGGGCGAAAGCCUGACCCAGCGACGCCGCGUGAGGGAUGACGGUCUUCGGAUCGUAAACCUCUGUCACCAGGGACGUACGGUCACGGUGCUGAUCAUCAGUGAAUUUACUGUACCUGCACGGGAAGCACCGGCUAACUCCGGGCCAGCAGCCGCGGUCAUACGGAGGGGGCGAGCGUUAAACGGAAUUACUGGAUGUAAAGCGAUCGUAGGCGGUAUGUCAAGUCAGUGGGUAAAUACCCGGGCUCAACGGUGGAACUGCCUUUGAAACUGGCAAACUUGAGUGUAGGUGAGGUAAGUGGAAUUCCAGGUGUAGCGGUGAAAUCCGUAGAUAUCAGGAAGAACA